UACGGGGGGGGCAAGCGUUGUUCGGAAUUACUGGGCGUAAAGGGCCAGUAGGCGGCCAACUAAGUCCGACGUGAAAUCCCAAGGCUUAACCUUGGAACUGCGUCCGAUACUGGAUGGCUUGAAUCCGGGAGAGGGAUGCAGAAUUCCAGGUGUAGCGGUGAAAUGCGUAGAUAUCUGGAGGAAUACCGGUGGCGAAGGCGGCAUCCUGGACCGGCAUUGACGCUGAGGAGCGAAAGCCAGGGGAGCAAACGGG
rnacentral:rRNA from 1 species